UACGUAGGGUGCGAGCGUUAAUCGGAAUUACUGGGCGUAAAGCGUGCGCAGGCGGUUUUGUAAGCCAGAUGUGAAAUCCCCGGGCUCAACCUGGGAAUGGCAUUUGGGACUGCAAGGCUUGAGUGCGGCAGAGGAGACUGGAAUUCCUGGUGUAGCAGUGAAAUGCGUAGAUAUCAGGAGGAAUACCGACGGCGAAGGCAGGUCUCUGGGCUGACACUGACGCUCAUGCACGAAAGCGUGGGGAGCAAACAGG
rnacentral:rRNA from 1 species